UUUAUUAUUAACAAAUCAAAAAGAAAAAGUUAUCAUUUUUCUCUUCUCCUUCACCGAAAUAUGCAGCAAAGAAAGGGCUUUGAAGCUGGAAAGUUUUAGCAACAUAUUUCACUUGCUUGUAAGUGAUUUUAAUGUAUUUGCUUGAUGAUUUUUACAUUUUUGGAACCCCUAAAGCAUGAGCUUUCAUAAGAGGGGACUAUUUUGCAAAAUGAUGAAGAGUCUAGGGUUUUGCCAUGAGAGUAAAUGUGUUGUUUGCUGUGUUUUUAUGGAAGAUUAUGAGUCCUAGUUGUCUAAUAAACAACUUUUGUGAAAGAAAUUGCAUGAAAACACCUUAAAAAGGGCUAGAUUGCUAAGUUGUAAAAUGAGUUGUAAAUGUGUGAAAUAGUUGAAAUUAUGAGUUGCUAUAGUUAUGAAAAUGGUUCAUCUAGACUCAAGGAGUAAAGAAAUGUGAUAAAAAUUAUUUUACGAGCCUAGGGGUAAUUUGGUAAUUUUGGCAAAAUAUAGGGGAAAAAUUGUAAAAAAAAUGCUCAAGUGUGUCAAUGGACUAAUUUGAUCAGUAAAUUGUUUUAAUAAGUUGAAUGUGAUAUUUUAGAUGAUGAAAAUCGAGAUUUGGACCUAGAACGGAAAGAAAUCGAUUAAGGGAUAAUUACGUCUUUUUUUCACCUUUGUGGUAUCGAGGUAAGUUCAUGUGUAAAUAAUGUAGCAUAAUUGUUAUUUUUAAGUUAUUGAUGUUAAAUAUAUGAUAUGCUGAUUUUUAUCAUUAAAUAUAUGCUUUGUGGUUAUUUUCGAAUAAAAUGCAAGUUAUGUGUAUUAUCUGUUAAAUAUAAAGUGCUACUGAGUAUUGGUUUCGGUAUUUUACGGAAGAUGGCAAGGAUAUGUGUUCGAGGAAAAUCCCGUUUGAACCUUAGGAAUAGAUUAGGAUACAAGUGACAUGUCACUAGGAUGGUUGAGCAUCCGAACUCGUUGAGUUGAGUCCGAGUUCACUUAUGGAUGCGAAUGUUCGAACUCGUUGAGUUGAGUCUGAGUUCGUGAGAUGUAACUAGGCAUCCGAGCUCGUUGAGUUGAGUCCGAGUUCACUUAUGGGCGGGUUACAUUGUAGCUUGGCUACAUAUGUGGCACUUAUGUGCAAACUUUCUAUGUAUCCGAAUUAUAUUCCGAUGUGUUCAACAGGUAAAAUUCUACUCAAAUGGAGGAAUACUCGAGAUGAAAGGGACGUAUUGGUAAAUGUUGUGAAAUGGAUACUUUGAACAGGUAUGUACUUAACCCUCGGGUUGAAAACUCGACAUAACAACAAUAUGGUAAGAUGGUAAAUGAAAAUGUGAUAUGAAUGUCUCGGUGAUGAUUAUACAAACGAUGUUGUAUUAAUUUUGUGAACAAUGAUCAUGAAUGAGUAAUUUAGCCUUAACAGAUUUGAGUUACUGCAGUAGUGUAACUUUGAAAAUACACUAAAAAUAGUGGAAAAUGAGUUAGAGGCAGAAUAAAAUAUGGGAUUAAAGCUUAAUGAGUCUAUUUUCACAUGAAAGAAACAGGUGAAGAAAAAGAAUUCCAUAUUGUGUGAUAUUUGAAUUCUUGUGAAAUAGGGUCUUGAAUGAAUUCGAGAUCCCCUGUUCUGACUUUAGAAAUUCACCAAAAAUUGUAAAAAAAUUAUUAAGAGUCAUACCUUACAUGCAUAGAUUCCUUAUUGAGUCUAUUUUUAGGGGAAAUAAAUUCCAUGGUCGUUGGAAUUUUGUACAGGGAGAAAUUUGGUUUGUAGUGCACAGGGGUCAGAGUGGUCAUACCCUGAAACAGGGGAGACUUUAACUAAUAAACUGUACUAAUUGGCCCAACCAAAAAUUCUAGAAAAAAAAUUAGUAAGUAGACAUAUGAGUCUAGUUUCAAGAGAAAUAGACGAGAACAUUAUUCGAGUCUUGUACUAUGAGAUAAUUGAACUUUAGUACAGAAGGGUCGGAACUGUCAGACAGUGAAUCAGGGGUAACUUUGAGGAAUAAACUGUACUAUUUGGCUUAACCCAAAAUUCUGAAAAUUUUAAGGAAGAAAGGAAAAUUAGUCUAGUUUCAGGGAAAAUUAACGGAACUUAAUUUGGAGUUUCGUAGCUCCAGAUAUAAAUAAUUUAGUGACUGUUGCUCAGGAAGACAGCUUGCAGUGAACUUGAGAAUAUGUUGUAAACAUUGAUAAAACAAGUUAAUGAGUUGCUUAUUGUUUUCAUAUGAACUUACUAAGCGAAAGCUUACCCCCCUUCUUUUCCAUGUUUUCUAGAGUUUCCAGGUUAGCUCGGGUUGGAGGCCGUCAGAGAUAUUAUCAUACUGUCGAGUUAACGCUAUCGGCGUAAGUAAACUCAAGUGAUUCUAGUCUAUGGCAUGUAUAGGGUUUUAAUGUGAGUAUGUAAUAUUAUGAUUUAGCCAAAGACAUUGGCUUUUUAUUAAGGUAGUAUUAGUCAUGUAAAUUGGCCUAUGUCGGCUAAUAUCGUUAUGGGCCCAUAUGAUUAUUCUUAUGCAUGUAUAUUAUUAUCUCUUGUGAUGUGGCUUACAACAUGUAUGCCUAGAGAUUGAAUUGAGAUUCAUUGAUGAGCUAAUAACUAAUGCAGGAUUAAGUGAUUGGUAAAUAGUUAAUAAUGCUUCAUGAAUGGUUUGUGGAUAUGAUUAUGCAUGCUUUGUGAUGGACAUGAGGUUUGAUGACAUGUUGAUAGCUAUAGCAUUAAUAUGAUAAAGAUGAAAGAAAAACUUAUUGUAAUGGUUGCAUGUGAAAUUACCAUGGUCAUGUCAUGUUAGGAAGGUUUAAGUGCCUAAUUUUGCCAUUUGUAUGCUAUUGUAUAAGUAUGCGUGAAUGUGUUGUGAGUGUGACAAAAUGGCUUGGAAAAUAGCCUUAUAUUUGUCCAGGUUUUGGACAUGGGUUGGGCAUGUCCUUAGCACCCGGGCGUGUGUUCUAUACCUACACGGGCGUGUGGAGCCUUGAUACAAUAAAUUUCUUAAGUUUUUCAUGAGUUCUCGGUUGGGUCUCGAACCACCCCGAAUGCAUGUAUUGUGUAACACCCCUUACCCGUAUCCAACACCGGAAUAGGGUAAGAGGCAUUACCAAAACACAUACACUUGUAAACGUAUUUAACCGAGUUAUAAAAUUUCAUCAAAAU
rnacentral:lncRNA from 1 species